rnacentral:rRNA from 1 species
GAUGAACGCUGGCGGCGUGCUUAACACAUGCAAGUCGAACGAAACACCUUAUUUGAUUUUCUUCGGAACUGAAGAUUUGGUGAUUGAGUGGCGGACGGGUGAGUAACGCGUGGGUAACCUGCCCUGUACAGGGGGAUAACAGUCAGAAAUGACUGCUAAUACCGCAUAAGACCACAGCACCGCAUGGUGCAGGGGUAAAAACUCCGGUGGUACAGGAUGGACCCGCGUCUGAUUAGCUGGUUGGUGAGGAAACGGCUCACCAAGGCGACGAUCAGUAGCCGGCUUGAGAGAGUGAACGGCCACAUUGGGACUGAGACACGGCCCAAACUCCUACGGGAGGCAGCAGUGGGGAAUAUUGCACAAUGGGGGAAACCCUGAUGCAGCGACGCCGCGUGAGUGAAGAAGUAUUUCGGUAUGUAAAGCUCUAUCAGCAGGGAAGAAAAUGACGGUACCUGACUAAGAAGCCCCGGCUAACUACGUG